UAAAUCUCCAGUGUAGAAAUGCAGC
rnacentral:piRNA from 1 species